rnacentral:ncRNA from 2 species
AGGAAGAGGUCGGGAGAGACCCUUAAAGGGCGCCGAAGGAGCAAGAUGGGCGGUUGGCGGCCGCAGAUCAAAACUCUCAGGCAAAAGAACUGACUUCAGACC